rnacentral:rRNA from 1 species
GGGCCCGCACAAGCGGCGGAGCAUGCUGAUUAAUUCGAUGCAACGCGAAGAACCUUACCUGGGUUUGACAUAUGCCGGAAAGCUGCAGAGAUGUGGCCCCCCUUGUGGUCGGUAUACAGGUGGUGCAUGGCUGUCGUCAGCUCGUGUCGUGAGAUGUUGGGUUAAGUCCCGCAACGAGCGCAACCCUCGUCCUAUGUUGCCAGCACGUGAUGGUGGGGACUCAUAGGAGACUGCCGGGGUCAACUCGGAGGAAGGUGGGGAUGACGUCAAGUCUUCAUGCCCCUUAUGUCCAGGGCUUCAAGCAUGCUACAAUGGCCGGUACAAAGGGCUGCGAAACCGUAAGGUGGAGCGAAUCCCAAAAAGCCGGUCUCAGUUCGGAUUGGGGUCUGCAACUCGACCCCAUGAAGUCGGAGUCGCUAGUAAUCGCAGAUC